rnacentral:rRNA from 1 species
GUGGCCCCAAGUCAGUCGAGACUCCGACAUG